AGAAGGAUUGGGGGAUUUUAGCAAGCCAAAGUUAACAACAGUAGAAACCAGAAUUAUGGCUUUAGACCCCUGAAAUGGAAGAAAAUUGUGGCAUGAGGCGAGACAGUUUUCCUGGUACAUGCAGAAGGGUAUGAAAGAAGGAGUGAGCUCUCAGAAGUGGCAACUAGAGUCUUCAGAAGGAACUGGCAAGAAAGAUACUCGCUUCUCUUCUUAUUCACAUCUAGAGAACCAUGAGAUACUGCACGAGAAUGACCUAAGCCCCCACCCAAGAAAGCAGCCCAGCUUGGUGUGUUUGUGGGGGCCAAGUGGCUACGGAUAAGAAUUUGUGAGUUCCUUUGUUCCCUGAUUUCCGAGCCAGGGAAAGACCUCUACAGGCGCUACUGAGAGGGAGACAAUUUACCUUCAUGACCUUCCCUUCUUAACACAGUUCCCCUGCAGAGGAAGAAGAUGGGUGGGGGAGGGGAUGUAAUCAGUAUAGAUCACUUGCAU